CGUGCCAGCAGCCGCGGUAAUACGGAGGAUCCAAGCGUUAUCCGGAAUCAUUGGGUUUAAAGGGUCCGUAGGCGGUUUGAUAAGUCAGUGGUGAAAGCCCAUCGCUCAACGAUGGAACGGCCAUUGAUACUGUUAGACUUGAAUUAUUUGGAAGUAACUAGAAUAUGUAGUGUAGCGGUGAAAUGCUUAGAGAUUACAUGGAAUACCAAUUGCGAAGGCAGGUUACUACAAAUGGAUUGACGCUGAUGGACGAAAGCGUGGGUAGCGAACAGGAUUAGAUACCCUGGUAGUCCACGCCGUAAACGAUGGAUACUAGCUGUUCGGAGCAAUCUGUGUGGCUAAGCGAAAGUGAUAAGUAUCCCACCUGGGGAGUACGUUCGCAAGAAUGAAACUCAAAGGAAUUGACGGGGGCACGCACAAGCGGUGGAGCAUGUGGUUUAAUUCGAUGAUACGCGAGGAACCUUACCAAGGCUUAAAUGUAGUUUGACCGGUUUGGAAACAGACUUUUCGCAAGACAAAUUACAAGGUGCUGCAUGGUUGUCGUCAGCUCGUGCCGUGAGGUGUCAGGUUAAGUCCUAUAACGAGCGCAACCCCUGUUGUUAGUUGCCAGCGAGUCAUGUCGGGAACUCUAGCAAGACUGCCAGUGUAAACUGUGAGGAAGGUGG
rnacentral:rRNA from 1 species